rnacentral:rRNA from 1 species
GACGAACGCUGGCGGCGUGCUUAACACAUGCAAGUCGAACGCUGAAGCUCAGCUUGCUGGGUGGAUGAGUGGCGAACGGGUGAGUAACACGUGAGUAACCUGCCCUCUUCUUUGGGAUAACGCCCGGAAACGGGUGCUAAUACUGGAUAUUCACUGAUUCUCGCAUGGGGGUUGGGGGGAAGGUUUUUUUUGGGGGGGGAUGGGCUCGCGGCCUAUCAGCUUGUUGGUGGGGUGAUGGCCUACCAAGGCUUUGACGGGUAGCCGGCCUGAGAGGGUGACCGGUCACAUUGGGACUGAGAUACGGCCCAGACUCCUACGGGAGGCAGCAGUGGGGAAGAUUGCACAAUGGGCGAAAGCCUGAUGCAGCGACGCCGCGUGAGGGAUGGAGGCCUUCGGGUUGUAAACCUCUUUCGCUCAUGGUCAAGCCGCAGCUUUGGGUUGUGGUGAGGGUAGUGGGUAAAGAAGCGCCGGCUAACUACGUG